rnacentral:lncRNA from 1 species
GAGUGCUCGUUCUAGCUGAAUCACCUCACAUGACUUACAAAAGGAUCAAAAAGCCAGUACAAUUUCGCAUAGACGAGCAUUGUCUUCAGGAAAAAUAAGCACAGAUGGAACCAAAGCUAUGACAGAACACACCCCACAGGCGGUGGGCUUCACUGACGGUUCUAUGCUCAGAAACCAACUCCGGGGAAUUCAGAUAAUAAUCUCUUCUUCGGACAGAAAAAGGAAAAAUUGCCUCAUCCACAAUUGGACCCUUACAAGGAGGACAGGUGUGAUUAUUAGGAUUUGGCCUAAAGAAUAGAUUGAAGCGGAUGAUACACUUCAAAAGAAUGUGUUCCCAAUCUCAAGACCUCUCUGGGGAGUCUCACAAGUGUCAAGUUUAUCCUGUGAUCCCUGCUGAGAUAUGGCCAAAUGUAAAGGCCAGGACCAGCUGGGUGUUUACAUGACAUAUAAAUAACAACACAAACCUGGUCAAUUAACCUCUUUGCUGCUUGGUUUAAGUGAGUCCCACAACCUGCCUAAUGAAGAGAAAGAAACUCCCUCAAUCCUGCUAAGAGGUUAGAGGACAACGUUGAGAAACUGAUUUGAGAGGAAUUGAAUUUGCUAUUCUGGGUUCACAACUCCAGCCCUAAUCCUGAUAGCGCAGCAAGAAGGGCUGCCAUAAUCUUGAAGGGUCCCUUUGAGAGAGUGUGGGACUGCAGUGAGGAUGGAACAGGGCAGCUUUCCCAGGCAGGGGAUGUUGUCUUGGUUAUUCACGGAUCUGCAUCACCGCCCUUCCUGGAACCUGGCAGGCGGCAGUACAGAGCUGGUGAAGGAGGAAUGAAGGAGGAAGCCAUGCUGCACUGAUGAUGGUUUGGCGAUGCUGGUCUACACCAGAAAAAUUGGAUUCUCCCUAGAAAAGAGAUUUGAAAUUCCCUGGAGAUUUCUGACCAUGUCCUUUGGAAGAAAUAUUCAUACAGCCAGGGAAACCUUAAAAUCAACUUGCUUUUAUUCUUGCCCAAAAUUAAAGGCUUGCCUACCAACAACUUUCCUCUCAAAAAUUGACAUCUAUGAUUGCCAAUCUUUUAGUAGGUUUUUAUGUUUGUUUGUUUGUUUUGUUUUAUUUUGUUUUGUUUUUUAAACAGGGUCUGUCACCGGGAUGGAGUGCAGUGGUGUAAUCACAGCUCACUGCAGCCUCUACCUCCCGAGCUCAAGUGAUUCUCCCGUCUCAGCCUCCCGAGUAGCUGGGACUACAGGCUUACACCACCACACCCGGCUAAUUAAAAACAUUUUUUUGUAGAGAUGGAAGUCUCCCUAUGUUGCCCAGGCUGGUCUCAAACUCCUAAGCUCAAGCAAUCCUCCUACCUUGGCCUCCCAAAGUGCUGAGAUUACAAGCAUGAGCCACCGUGCCUGGUCUAGCAUGAUUUUUAUCACGACUUUUUCUGUCUUUUAAGAUUGGAAAGGCAUAAAUCAAUAUUUCAGGCCGAGCAGCGCUUGUUUGCCAUCAUUCAUCCAGCAGAGGUCUCUCUUGCCCACCAUACGCUCAGAAGAGUCCCUUGCUUGUGUGUGUGUAUUCAGUACCAGGGGCGUGACCGUCAGGCUGCAGAAUGAAGAAAUACGGACAAAGACUUUCAGGCCUGAGAGACUAAGGAGAAAAGAAUCUGUGGCUUUGGAGAGCAAGGCCUUCUCCUGAAGCCACAGGACAGACCAACGAGGAAUCAUGCUGCCCCACGGCCAAGUUCUGAUAUGACACCAAGGGAGGCAGGCAUGGGUUUCCAUACUGAGGGAAGCAAUCUGGUGAGGAUGGAGCUGGAUCAAAAAAGACAUGUUAAAAAUAAGACCCUCGGCUGGGCACGGUGG